rnacentral:lncRNA from 1 species
CACCUCAUCUAAUUAAUGGCCUUAAUUUGCUAGAUCUAAAUGACAUUAAAAAUUUUACAUCAAACUAACUAACCGUUCACAUGAAAAGGGAUUAAUUAUUUCAAGCAAAGCAACGCAAAAUGGAUCAAGGGCCCAACUGAUAAAGCACUGUUCGAUCAUCCAUUUCUGUAGGGUCAAUACGUAAAAGUGUUGGGCUCCAGGUGAAGCCCAGUCCAGCGACCAAGUUGUUGAAAAAGAAAAUCAACACUAUUGGGCCAAAGUUUUGUAGCCCAAUGCACUGGCUAGGGGAACUGGCGAUUUUAGGUGUCUUGGGCAAAAUCUCAAUAGUAAACUCAAUUGAAGAAUAUUGUAGCUAAAAGAUAAGGGCCCAGGAUCGAGCCCUUGAAUGACCCAAUUUUAGCAGGGCAAAUAUGCUGAUCCAUGAGAUUCAAAUACAAAAAUUAAAACUUAAUUUUGACACCUAAUUAUAUGCAAAACAAAAACCCGAAUUCUUUUUUAUUACUAAACAGGGAAGUAAAACUUCACACAUCCUGGAAAAUAACCAUCAACAGCUACAACUAACAACUACUAAACUAUUUCAAGCAUUGCUAGCAUUAAAUGGACAACCAUUUCAAACCAUGUUUAAAUUCAAACGUAUUCAUCUGAUAAUCAUUGAAACUUUAGCCAAAUACAAUACUCAAACUUAAGUGAUUGACUAGGCAUCAUAUAUGAUUUGAAUAAACAAUCAAGGCCAAAACCUUAAUGAUCUACAGCAAGGACCAAUCCUAAACUUUUUUCCCAGGACACUAAAGCAAAUUAUUACAGCUCGACUACCGAAAUUCAUAGUUUAACCAUCUUCACAAUCCCAAAUAAACUUCUAUUUUCAGGCUUAAGUUCUUAACACCUUGAACACCCAUAAGUUCAUUCCCACAUCCACACUACAAUAGACUUAAAUUCAUUAAGUAAUAUCAUUUAAAAACUUUCAACAGCCCCUGGAGCAAUUAUGCUCAAACAAUCUUAGUUAACUACUACAAAUCAUAGCCUAUAGUUAAUACCAGUUCUAAAUACUACUUGCAGGUCACUUCCAUACACACAACUUCAGAGGAAAAAAAACCUUAUUAACAUCUAUAUUUAGGGUCCAAUUAUUGAGCAUGGAAGCAGUAAAGAAACAGGGAAAUCAACAUCAAAUGCAAUCUUCGUUUCAUUGAGCUUUCACUCAUAUUACAUGUUCAACAAUCAUUCCUCAAUCAUAGCUAAUAAAGUACCUGGAAAUGUGAAAUAAAGUAGAGGUGAACAAUCAGCAAAUACAAUAAGAAUCAACAGCAGAAAUACACUACAGAACCAGUUUUGGGAACCACAAAAUCAGUUCCAAAUCAAAUGGAACACUAACUUCAACAGAGCUUGACCCAAAAACUUUUCGAAAGUAACAUCAAAUCAUUUCGAAUCUCAUUAAUGAAGCAGUAUUGUUUUCUGAAAUUGAAAGAAACAGAAAAUCCUGAAGAAAAACUUAAUGCAACAGUAUUCCUGGCCGUCUGUGAUUUUCUCAGAAAUUUUCAACUUUCCUUCUUUUAUCUUGAGUUAUUUUGAUUUUAUAGGCUGAACACUAGGGCAACCUACAAAUUCUAUUUUACCCCUUUAGUCCCUGAUUUUAUGACUUGUUAGCCAAGUCAUAGUAUCAAAAUUUAAAAACCAGCCCCUACUAGAAGAUUCCAGGAGCUUCUUAAACGUUUAGAAAAAGAUUCCUCUAUCUAAUUACCCCAAAAUACCCUGCAAGACCCUUUUUAUUACCCUACCCGGGUCAACUGGCCUAGCUAAAAUGUGUCAUAGACCCACAAUUAAAUCCCUAUUCGGGCUAGUUGCUAUUUACACAUCCAUUAAACUAGUAAAAUGCCCUAUAAUAGAAUUUCACCUCAUAAUUUCCAUAUAAAUAAAUCCAAAAUUAAUUUUCAAAAGUAACCAAAACAAGAACAAAAUUCACUGAACUAGGCAUCAUUGUAAUUCAAUCGAAUCAGAGGCCUAAAUUUAUUAACUACUGAUAAAACGUGAUACUGAAAAUGAGACGAUAAUCAUGCCAUGACCACAAUGGAAUUGAAUGACAUACUAGAGAAGAACAAACGACAAUUACCAAAUUGUACAAAUCUUGACUCGAAAUUCUGACUGAAUUGCCUAGAAAAAGAAGUAAACGAGAAGAACAAAAGCCAAAAUAUCAAGAUGCAUCGAACACAAGAAGAACUUACCCUCAACACUUGAAUUUUUUGACUUUGAUGCCAAAUAAUAUUAACCGCUUGUUCUUUGUCAAGAACAAGUGGAUAACACUAUUUCAUGACAAAAUCAACUCUAAAACUUUAAGAAAGCCGGAGAAAUCACCUUGUAUGCUCUGAAUUUGACUUGGUUCUUAGAGAUUCUGAUUUUUAGAUUCGAUAUUCAAGAGAUUUAAGUAGGAUUUGAGGGAAGUGGUUCAUGGAUUCAAUAUGAGGGUGCCCUAGUGAUUCCGUGGAAUAAUUUUGGUGGAGUUUGGGGAGCUGAAUCGCCUGUAUCCAUGCUGAAUUAAGGUUUUUCGGAUAGUGAGAGGGUUAAGACGAUAGAGGAGAUGAGGCCGAACUGAUUGGUUUAGGACAUUUUAA